AUCCCAUGUUGAGGACACUUCCUCAACAAUUGCUGGUACGAUUCCCAUGCUUCGUACAAGGUUUCAGACUCCAUUUUUGUCAGAAUGAAGAUAUGUAAUUUUUGAGCUU